GUUGGGUAGGGGAGCGUUCUGUAAGCCUGUGAAGGUGGCCUGUGAGGGUUGCUGGAGGUAUCAGAAGUGCGAAUGCUGACAUAAGUAACGAUAAAGCGGGUGAAAAGCCCGCUCGCCGGAAGACCAAGGGUUCCUGUCCAACGUUAAUCGGGGCAGGGUGAGUCGACCCCUAAGGCGAGGCCGAAAGGCGUAGUCGAUGGGAAACGGGUUAAUAUUCCCGUACUUGGUGUUACUGCGAAGGGGGGACGGAGAAGGCUAUGUUGGCCGGGCGACGGUUGUCCCGGUUUAAGCGUGUAGGUGUGUGUUCCAGGUAAAUCCGGUUCACUUUAACACUGAGGCGUGAUGACGAGGCACUACGGUGCUGAAGCAACAAAUGCCCUGCUUCCAGGAAAAGCCUCUAAGCAUCAGGUAACAUCAAAUCGUACCCCAAACCGACACAGGUGGUCAGGUAGAGAAUACCAAGGCGCUUGAGAGAACUCGGGUGAAGGAACUAGGCAAAAUGGUGCCGUAACUUCGGGAGAAGGCACGCUGACAUGUAGGUGAAGUGAUUUACUCAUGGAGCUGAAGUCAGUCGAAGAUACCAGCUGGCUGCAACUGUUUAUUAAAAACACAGCACUGUGCAAACACGAAAGUGGACGUAUACGGUGUGACGCCUGCCCGGUGCCGGAAGGUUAAUUGAUGGGGUCAGCGCAAGCGAAGCUCCUGAUCGAAGCCCCGGUAAACGGCGGCCGUAACUAUAACGGUCCUAAGGUAGCGAAAUUCCUUGUCGGGUAAGUUCCGACCUGCACGAAUGGCGUAAUGAUGGCCAGGCUGUCUCCACCCGAGACUCAGUGAAAUUGAACUCGCUGUGAAGAUGCAGUGUACCCGCGGCAAGACGGAAAGACCCCGUGAACCUUUACUAUAGCUUGACACUGAACAUUGAGCCUUGAUGUGUAGGAUAGGUGGGAGGCUUUGAAGCGUGGACGCCAGUCUGCAUGGAGCCGGCCUUGAAAUACCACCCUUUAAUGUUUGAUGUUCUAACGUGGACCCGUGAUCCGGGUUGCGGACAGUGUCUGGUGGGUAGUUUGACUGGGGCGGUCUCCUCCUAAAGAGUAACGGAGGAGCACGAAGGUUGGCUAAUCCUGGUCGGACAUCAGGAGGUUAGUGCAAUGGCAUAAGCCAGCUUGACUGCGAGCGUGACGGCGCGAGCAGGUGCGAAAGCAGGUCAUAGUGAUCCGGUGGUUCUGAAUGGAAGGGCCAUCGCUCAACGGAUAAAAGGUACUCCGGGGAUAACAGGCUGAUACCGCCCAAGAGUUCAUAUCGACGGCGGUGUUUGGCACCUCGAUGUCGGCUCAUCACAUCCUGGGGCUGAAGUAGGUCCCAAGGGUAUGGCUGUUCGCCAUUUAAAGUGGUACGCGAGCUGGGUUUAGAACGUCGUGAGACAGUUCGGUCCCUAUCUGCCGUGGGCGCUGGAGAACUGAGGGGGGCUGCUCCUAGUACGAGAGGACCGGAGUGGACGCAUCACUGGUGUUCGGGUUGUCAUGCCAAUGGCACUGCCCGGUAGCUAAAUGCGGAAGAGAUAAGUGCUGAAAGCAUCUAAGCACGAAACUUGCCCCGAGAUGAGUUCUCCCUGAGACUU
rnacentral:rRNA from 1 species